CGGUGCUGGUGGAGCAGUGAGCAC
rnacentral:ncRNA from 2 species